UACGAAGGGGGCUAGCGUUGCUCGGAAUCACUGGGCGUAAAGGGCGCGUAGGCGGAUGAUCAAGUCGGGGGUGAAAUCCUGAGGCUCAACCUCAGAACUGCCUUCGAUACUGGUCGUCUCGAGUUCGGGAGAGGUGAGUGGAACUCCGAGUGUAGAGGUGAAAUUCGUAGAUAUUCGGAAGAACACCAGUGGCGAAGGCGGCUUACUGGUCCGGUUCUGACGCUGAGGCGCGAAAGCGUGGGGAGCAAACAGG
rnacentral:rRNA from 1 species